ensembl:misc_RNA
CCUUCAUAAUGACUAUACCUGUCAGUUGCGUGGAGCUACAUUGAAGAUUUUUCUGAGCCUGAUAGAUUUACAGUGAUAUGCAGCUGCCUGGGGAA